GCAUUGGUGGUCCAGUGGUUGUAUUCUUGCCUUCCAUGCCGGAGAACCAGGUUCGAUUCCUGGCCAGUGCA
rnacentral:tRNA from 1 species